GUGUACGAUGGAUGUUGGCACGGUUCAAUCCGAUCAAAUCUCUCAGUGGGCUGAGUCCUUUAAUCUGAUUGAGCCGUGCCAAUAUCAAUCUCUCUCUG
rfam:Gossypium raimondii Chr11_contig_211, whole genome shotgun sequence.